rnacentral:rRNA from 1 species
UGCCAGCCGCCGCGGUAAUACAGAGGGUGCAAGCGUUAAUCGGAAUUACUGGGCGUAAAGCGCACGUAGGCGGUUUUUUAAGUCAGAUGUGAAAGCCCCGGGCUCAACCUGGGAAUUGCAUUUGAAACUGGAAAACUAGAGUGUGUGAGAGGGGGGUAGAAUUCCAAGUGUAGCGGUGAAAUGCGUAGAGAUUUGGAGGAAUACCAGUGGCGAAGGCGGCCCCCUGGCACAACACUGACGCUCAGGUGCGAAAGCGUGGGGAGCAAACAGGAUUAGAUA